AUUCCCCUUGGCUCUGCUAAAAAAAAACAACAGAAUGAAGCUUCCCUGGGAGAUGGGAAAUGAUUCAGCUAAUGAAAUCAUACCUAUCUUUAACAAAGCAUCACCCCCUGUUUCACACUCAGAAAACAGUCAGUUGAAUGGCAGACUCCAGCCAGUAAGGACAAGGACAAUAUUCUGUAGCACUGGAAACCAAUUUCAAGCAUUGCAGCUGAGACACAGAUACUAAAGGAACUGCACAGUCUUACAUCCAGGGAGCUUUGUUGAGAAAACACAAUGAAUAUUUUUUUCUUAUCCAGUCUUUUGACCAUAGCCUGUUCUUAUCCAAUCUUCAAGGGGCAGCAGAACAAAAGACUAGUGAAAAGAGACCAUUCUGCAAGCCAUGAGGUGGCCUAUCUGUAUCAGCUUUAUCCCGGCGGACUACAAAGCCAGCGCCAAGUCCAGCCACUUGCCUCAGUUGCUGGAGUAACACAAGCAGUGAGAAUUUAUUAUCCUUAUGGAUAUGUCCAGCUACACCCCAGAGUGGUCUAUGGGUUAUAUCAACUUUAUAUCAUACCUAUAAGACCCGUUAGGCCCCCGAUACAUACAACUACCCCCCGGCCUCCAACCCCUACAACAACCGCAAAGCCAAUACUGACUGUCAGACCACCAGCUCCACCUGAACGCACUACUGCAGCUCCGCGAACAACCGCCGUUCCAAGAGGGGACGUCUGAGCACAUGUUGGACAGAAGACCACACAGGAAACCCUUCUGCUGGAACUCAACCUCUUUCUCUGAAAGUACAGAUUUUCGUAGAUACCUUUUCGGAAAUAUCUUUUCCAGAUUACUUUGUUUUUCCGUCAGCAUUGUCAUUUUUUUCCUAAAUCUUACGAAUUUAGCUUGAAAUAUAAUCAGUGUAAUCUAACUAAUAUAAGUACUUAAUAAAUCAUAUGAACUAUUACUGGGUAAUUUCGAAGGCACUAGCAUUAGUACUAUCCCAUCUGACUAGUUAGUCCUGGAUUACAGGUAAUAAGGAUCUGUGAAAACCUGGAUAAUUUAAUAGAUUGUUUGUUUAACAGAUUCAAAGCUGUACAUUGAAAUUAUGUUGUCCUGUAUAUGCCACCUAUUACUAAAUGACCUUAAUAGAUUUUUUAAAAUGUUAAUAAAUCAAUACAGCAAUACAGCAUCCUAAUACUGUACGUAAAAUUAGUUAAUGAAAUUUAUGUUAUGAUCGUUCAAAAUGGGAUUACACCACAGUGUUAUGUAAAUGCAGUGUAUAUAUUUAUAAAGUGUACAAUAUUUUCUUACACAAUAUGUCUGGGAAGCUUGUUCCAUAUUUUCAUAACCUUUUGGGUAAAAAUGUGCCUCCUCUGUUAUCUGUUUUAGUUAAGUUUCCACAUAAUUCCACUUGUGUACGCUGUAGUUUGUGCUCCUGCAGAGAACCUCUGGGGUGAUUCUGACACUGUCUCUGAGGAUUUUGAUCACUUGUAUCACGUCCCAUUAUCAUCAUCUCUACUGAAGACUACAGUGGCUCAAUUCCUUCAGCCUGUCAGUUUCAACCUGACAGUCCUCUGAAGUCCUCUAAUUCCUUUCAGAAAUGCACUUCUCUGAAUUGAUUCCAGAGAAACAAUAUUGUUUUUGAAAUCUGUAGACCAUAAACAUAAAAAAAAUUCUAAAAUGGGUAUUUAGUGCAUUUUACAAUUUUAAUAUAUCAUCUACACCUACAGUAUAUAUCCUAACAUAUUUGUUUGCAUUUUUCAUUGCUUCUCUGUAUUGUCUAGAAGAUGUAAAUGAUGUAUCAAAAUAAAAACGUUCAUAAAUGCUACCUGCUAGCUCAGUGCUUCCCACUUUCUAUUAAUAAGUUAUGUUUUUGCCAGCUGUCCUUCUCUAUAUUAAACAUUAUCUGCCAGGUGUUUGCCUAGUCUUGAAUUUUAUCUAAAUCUUUCAGAAUUUCAUUCACUGUUUCUGCAGUGUUUGCCAAUCUUCCUAUUAUGUUAUCAUCUGCAAACUUUACUAGUUUAGUAACUAUACUAUAAUGCAAACCAUUGAUAUAAAUUACAGACACAAACAAUCACAUUUAUGUCCUGUACAAAUCUGGGCAGAUUUUUUAGGAACGUUUAGCUGUAUAAAUUAUACUAUGCAAACCAGGCUGAGACUGGUUCUUGGUUCAAACAUUAAACAGCUUAGUAGGCUUGACAUUUAUAAUGGCUCGUGUGGUGUGCUCAGGCUACCAGUUAUAAUUAGGAGUAAAUACCAGUUGUUCAGUUAAUGGAAGUGUGGGAGUUUCUAAGCUAAAUGGGAAACGUUAACACCUCCUGACAUCACCAACCAAGCUUAAUAAACAUUAAUUCUGUCUUGGGCCGCUUGUGGAAAAAAAAACAGAAGGGGAUAAUCUGCCUGAAGACAGGGAACUGGGGAAUUCACCUUGGUUUUCAGGAAUUGCACUUGAGUGGAAAUUUUCCUUUUUGUCCCCACUGUAAGUAGUAUUUACAUUUUUCCUCAUAUUUCCCUUUUAUCUUUUUUAAAAACAAAACCUGUAUUUAGUGGUAGCAUCUCAGAAAGGGUCCUAGGUGCGUUUGUGUAGCUGCAUAGUUUCAUUUCUCCUGUUGCAUGUGGAGUUUACAGUGUGGCAAGCAAUGCUUUGUACUGGGGUUGUUACUGCUUGGGCGUUGUGAUGAAGUUUCAAGUUUCCUGAGGCUUUCGGUUUGGUUUCGUUAUUCUUUAUCAUGUUAUUGUUCAUUUCGUUAAAAUUUGAAAAAAAAGUCACGUUUCUGGCAUGCUUUGUGAACUGUGUGAAAUAUUUUUUUAUUGGAUUUAAGUGCAAUCUGUGGCUCCACAUUAAUACAAUAAAUAUUGAAUUCAUAUUUACUGAAUACAGUAACG
rnacentral:lncRNA from 1 species